GUCUCUACAGUUUGAUCCUGGCUCAGACGAACGCUGGCGGCGCGCCUAAUACAUGCAAGUCGAGCGAGAAGACGUAGCAAUACGUUUGUAAAAGCGGCGAACGGGUGAGGAAUACAUGGGUAACUACCCUCGAUGGGGAUAACUAGCCGAAAGGUUAGCUAAUACCGCAUACGACUCUCGGUCUGCGGAUCGGGAGGGAAAGCGAUACCGUGGGUAUCGCGCUCUUGGAUGGGCUCAUGUCCUAUCAGCUUGUUGGUGAGGUAACGGCUCACCAAGGCUUCGACGGGUAGCUGGUCUGAGAGGACGAUCAGCCACACUGGCACUGCGACACGGGCCAGACUCC
rnacentral:rRNA from 1 species